rnacentral:lncRNA from 1 species
CCUGACUAUAUAUCCUUCUGAUCUGACCAACCCUCACAUAGAUUUCUAUGUCCCGUCUUCAGUAUGCCCUGGCCCUUGGGAACCAUUCAUCCCUUAGUAAUCAUCUCUGCACAUAUAGAAGGCAUUUUCCCAGCCCCAUGACUUUAGAAGGGUUGCCUUUCAGGCAAGGUGGCACUGGGAAGACUCCCGAGAACAACAGAGCAGAGCCUUCUCUAUUCCUCCAUCUCUCAUUCAAGCUGUCUUAUUUGGGAGACAGGGAUUAAUGUUGUAAUUCUGCUUCACUCCCCUAGGCAUUGUGUUAGGUGCUCCAGGAAUACAAAGACUCAUAGGGAUCCUGCCUGCAUUCAAUGAAUUUAUAAUCUGGCUGGGGAGCAGUGAUUUGUACACAAGCCAGCGGCCUAUGUACAAUAGCUAAGACUACUUGACCAUGAGCACUUCCAGGGAUGGAACUGUGAAUAACUAGAGCAUGGGAUAUAUUAUUCCCAUCAGAUACUAGAGAGGAUCAGGAAUGAAAGAGAUCAGAUAGGGCUUGGAGGCAUCAGGGGAAACGCCUACCGGGGCAGUGGGACUUGAGCACAGUCAUUAGGCAUGCAAAUCAUCUUGUGGGCUUUCCAAUGUGUGCACUGGAAUACGUUAAUGAGCUCAAUUUCCCCGUGCUAAAGCUCUGCUCUAGGCCUUUGAACUGACACACCCUGUCAAAAUAUGUGGAAACUGAAUACCCUGAAUCCAGACCUCCCAUGGAGGCUCUGAAGGGAAAAGAGAAAGAACUACUCACAUGUUGGCCGCCACCACCUCUCUCCCUUCCAGGCAGCUGGAUGGAGGAGACUUUGCCCAUGCUUCUCAGCUCAUUUCGUUUCCGAGACAUCUUUGUCCUCGAUGUUUGUUUUAAGCAGAGUUUGUCCAUAUUUGGGAGUUGGGGGGGACAUCAAUGGUAAGAUACAGUCCCACCCUCCCAGGAUGGCCCCCUUCCAGUUCCUGGGAGCCUGGGAUGUGUACAUUAUCUCUAUUCUCUAUUACAGCUGGGCCAGGAAUUGGCUCGUUUCGCCCAUUUAAAUUAAUAAACUGGAAGAGUCUUUUGUUUCAUAGCCAUCGUGUGGUUGAGUGACAGCUCUAUGCCUUUGCCUGAUGCUGAGGCUCCAUGGGAAACAUCAUGUACUCUUGCUGAACUCUGAUGAAAAGACAAGUGCCACAAACUGUUUAAUUUUUAGAUUGUACCUGUCAUUCACUUUACCUUUCCAAUGCCUCACAGCGAUAAGAAACUCACCUAGUAUCUCUCGUGCCAAAGAUCCUAAACAAGGCUAGUUCAUUCUGUGACCUUAAGGAGAUGGCAGAAACUGCAUUAUAGCAAACAAUAACAAUAUAGGCACAGAGUGCCCUGCAGUGAGCAUUAGAGAUUACUGAGAAUAGGUUUAGAAAUAUCACAGAGGGCUGGGCCUGGUGGCUCAUGCCUGUAAUCCCAGCACUGUGGGAGGCCAAGGCGGGCAGAUCACAAGGUCAGGAGAUCAAGACCAUUCUGGCCAACAUGGUGAAACCCUGUCUCUACUAAAAAUAUGAAAAUUAACCAGGCGUGGUGGUGUGCACCUGUAGUCCCAGAUACCCUGAAGCCUGAGGAGGAGAAUCACUUGAACCAGGGAGGUGGAGGUUGCAGUGGGCCAAGAUCACGCCACUGCAGUCCAGCCUGGGCAACAAGAGUGAAACUCCAUCUCAAAAACAAAAAA